rnacentral:rRNA from 1 species
CCUACGGGAGGCAGCAGUGAGGAAUACUGGUCAAUGGACGAGAGUCUGAACCAGCCAAGUAACGUGAAGGAUGACUGCCCUAUGGGUUGUAAACUUCUUUUAUAUGGGAAUAAAAUGUUCCACGUGUGGGAUUUUGUAUGUACCAUAUGAAUAAGGAUCGGCUAACUCCGUGCCAGCAGCCGCGGUAAUACGGAGGAUCCGAGCGUUAUCCGGAUUUAUUGGGUUUAAAGGGAGCGUAGGUGGAUUGUUAAGUCAGUUGUGAAAGUUUGCGGCUCAACCGUAAAAUUGCAGUUGAAACUGGCAGUCUUGAGUACAGUAGAGGUGGGCGGAAUUCGUGGUGUAGCGGUGAAAUGCUUAGAUAUCACGAAGAACUCCGAUUGCGAAGGCAGUUCACUGGACUGCAACUGACACUGAGGCUCGAAAGUGUGGGUAUCAAACAGGAUUAGAUACCCGGGUAGUC